rnacentral:lncRNA from 1 species
AUAAACAUUAAAACAUAUUCCUACUCUUAACUCAUUUUUUUAAUAUGAUAUAUCAAAAUUUACUUUCUUAAAGCUAAUAACUUUUUUGAUCCUUUAUUUUAGGGAUAAUUGCCUAUAUACCCUUCAUACGUUUAGAAAUAUCCGAUUUACCCUUACUUUCUUUUUCUUUCUAAAAUACCCUUCAUAUGUUCCACCGUUAUUGCAAAAUACCUCCGCAAUUAUCUCCUGUUAAGUUAACCUGGGUUAAACGUGAGUUAAAUAUCUACCACAGUUAAAAAAAAUUAAAAUGCCAAUUUUGCCCUUAACUUAAGGGCAAAUAAGAAAGUUUGGUGACGGUAGAGGGGUAUAUUGGAAAAGACCAAAAGUGAAAAUACUUUUUAUACCCCUGACUUUAAGGGCAAAUAAGAAAAAAAGUGAUGAUGGAAGGAUAUAUUUGAAAGGGCAAAAUAGUAAUUUUACAGAGAUAACAGAGUUACUUAAUAGAUUUUAACUCUAAGGGUAUAUUAGAAAUAGGUUGAAACGUAUAAGGGAUAUUUUCAAUAUUAGCCUUCUAAGAGGGGUAAAUUGAAAAAUCGGAAACUUUUUAGGAGUAUAUAAGCAAUUGCCCCUUUAUUUUAAGUCAGAGUGCGCAGCUUUCUUUUUAAAAAAAAAUUCGGCCUCAUUUGUUUAUUUCUACAUGUGAUCCUCAUUGCUUAUGUAAGGAAAUGUUAAUGCAAUAUAUGUUGAAUUAAAAAAUAAAAUAUAAAUAUUGUUUUUGAAAAGCUUAAGUUUGUUAAGACAAAUAGUUGUUGAAGAAUAUAUUUAUAUAUAAAGGGAGAUCGGCUAGUAUACUAUCGAUAACACGAAAGUCUCUGUGCUAUUAAGUUCUCUGUGCUAUUAAGUUGUUUUUGAUGAUGCGGCUUCCAAAUUGUUGAUCGUCUUUGUUAAACUUGAUCAACACUAUUAAUAGUAUUUGAGCAUCAAAUUUUAUAAUUUUUGAACAUCAAUUACCUACGAAACGUGUAGUCUAAAAAUUAAUGGCUAAAAAUAAAAAUCUCAUAAAAAUGGUGAUUAAGGACUUGAAUUUAAGAUCAGAGGUACUGAUUUUACUCUAAAUAGCGAAGAAAAUUUUCUCUAAAAAUUUUAUCGGAUUUGAAUUGUUUUACACCGUUAAAUUCACAAAUGCAUUAUAUCGGCCAUUAAAAAUAUUAAUUUAAGACCUUUUAAUCACUAGUCAAAUAAUAUAAAAAAAAAAUAAAAUUUGGUUUCUAAAUAUUUUCAAUAGCAUAGACCAUGUUUAACAGAGCCGAUCAUUGAUUCGAAAGCUGUAUCAUUGAAAGUAACUUGGUAGCAC